UUGGCCAGAGAGCCCAGGGCGCCCUCGCCAGUCGACAGAGCCUGCACACCGUAGCCGAAGAAGGAGACCAUCGCCAGGCGGGCGUGCUUGAUCUCAGCGGUCUUCAGGCGGAAGGCGCGCUCCUCGUCCUCAGAGGCCAGCUUGAGGGGGUCGAACACGCCGCCGGGGUAGCAGCGCUUCUCGGGGUUGGUCUCGCUGUUGCGGUAGAACUCAGCGCCACCGACCAGGAUCACCUCAAUCCAGAUCAGCUGGGUGAUGGAGAAGGGCAGGGACAGGCCGGCGUACGAGGCGCCGUCCAGCUCGACCUUGCCGGCCUCAACCCUGGGGUGAGGGGAAGUCCACACGGUGGGCACACGUCAGCGAGAUUACAUCGACGUAGCAAUUAUGACGCAACAACUCAAGCUCGCGCCAAUGCAAGACUAGUAAACCGGCCCGACGACGGGUGUUGCUAGUGAUCAGGGCCGACAUGUCAACCCGAAUCAGCCUGAUCUACAGAUCUGAACGCGCCGCACUGAACCCAGACUCACCAAGACACACCGGUGGUGGCCUCAGCCACCAGGGCGCCCAGGCAGGCAAGCAUGGCCCAGCGGCCGUGAAUCAGCUCGCACUCGCGGAAGCGAGCCAGGCCGAACACCUCCGAGUAGGGAGCCAGGCGGUUCUCCGAGCUAACCUCAUCGGGGGUAGCCUGGACGAUGGCCUCGACGGAGCCCUUGUUGUUCUUGGCAGCGUUCUGGUCGUUCUCGUCAACGCCAAUCACCACGAACUCCGAGGGCUUGGACAG
rnacentral:lncRNA from 1 species